CAGUUCUUUAGGAGUGCAGCUGAGCUCAUUUUUACCUAGAUGACUAGGGAACUAGCUAGGUACUGGGAGGACAAUGAGGCUUUGGGUGGCUGUCCAAAGCUCUGCUGUUCAAAUGCCAUGAGAGCACCGUACCUGGCUUCCCAUGGCUUCCCACCCCUUGUCUCUUUCUUGCCGGCCUUGAGAAGGCAUUUUGUGACAUCCCCACCCAUACACGGUGGUUGUGCUGGGGACAAAAUGACAAUGUAGAACAUAAGCACUGACAUGCCGCGACUCCACAGGCAGUGGUGAUGUUGAUAGAGGCAGACUUCUGCUGAGUGGGCAGCCAGAGUUCAGAGCCUGGCCAAGCUGCUUGCCUGGGAUGACAAAGGUUCCAAAUAAAUUUGCUUUUUGGAGGAAAACUGUCUAUCUCUGGAUAUGCCUGUACAAACGGAGCCAGGCUGCAGGUCUAGAGUCUGCUUAGGGAAACCAAGAUGCUUACCCCUGGAUCACUAUUUAUGUGGGUUGCCUUGGUUCAGUGAGGCUGGGACCAGCUGUGGCAGAUGUUGCCCGAGUCUGCAGCACGGUGACAAUUAGGAUGUGCCACAGAUCACAGGACUGGUGAAUCAGCAGGAAGUCAACAGCAGUCUGCAUUAAUUUGGUCCCCUUUGAAAUAAAACACUUAACUUACAGAAAUGCUAUCAAACCUAAAGGAGCUAUCUGAAUAGCCUCUUAGGCUAUAAAGCAGCAAAAUUUUGCUCCCACAAAGCAUCUUGGGUUUUUUUGCCUGGCAACUAUUCCAAAGCAGAACCGUGCUCUCAGGAAUUAUUGGGCACAUCCACUCAAUAUGUACCACUUGAUUCCACAGAGCGCAGUGCUGCAGGAAGUGGGUGCUCAAGGCAUCCUGCAUUUCUGCUCCAGGCUCCCAUCUCCCACUUGGCCACUGCUCCAGCCUCAAGCAUGCUGCAGCUCCUGGCUCCCUUCAGCCUCCCCAUCCACCUCCCAGUGCCUGACCACGGUUUGCCAUCUCAUCUAUUGACCUUCGUAUGACACAUUGCUGACAUCUACACUUUCAAGGCUCGUAUUUGCCUUUCCCAACCCACCUGAUUCUAGAAAUACACCAGCAGGAGCACGAAAUGUGCUGCUUUUGGCCAAGACCUGAUCCCCCUACAAGGCAUGAGGGAUGGCUUCAGGCCUCCUAUUGCACCCAAGUUGAAGACCCUUGAGCGAGCCA